GCCUACCCGCACAGAGCAGCCCCGCUUUCCAGGUCCCUCUCCUUGGUAUCACGUGUGUCGGGAGAGUGUGGACAGGACUUCUUCGUCCGCUGUUUCCAGAACACCAGCCACCGUGUUUGGAGAUGCGCAGGAAUGAAAAACAGCCCCUACUUUCGGGGGUCUCCCAAUCAGUCGGGUGGAGGAGCAGAUGAGGGAACAGCUUAUGUGCUUUAAUGAAGCAAGCUGACAUGUUGGAGAGCCCCACAUGGCAAAGAAUGCAGAGAGGCCUCCAGGCUCCAGCCAGCGAGGAACUAAAU